AGAGUUGUAUAGUUGUAUUUAUAGGUGUAUCUAUUUAUAUAUCUGUAUAGUUUGUAUAGAUAGUUAUGGAUGCGAUAGGAUUUAAUUUCUAUGUAUACAGUUACAUUUAUAGAUUUUCUAAUUUGCAUUUCUAUAUGUAGAGACUAACAUUUUGAUGCGCACAUCGUGACAAUUCUAAAUGUGCAUAGUUCUUUAGUUAGAGCUCUAUGGAUGUUUAGGUCCAUAGAUUGAGCUGUGUAGGCCUAGGCUGCAUUUUUGCCUCUUUCCCCCUUGGCUGCCUUUUUCAUCUCUUGUUUUUCCCGCUGUGCCCCUUGUGUCCCCCUGUGCUGGGUCCGAGCUGGGGCCGGGCCAGGCGGAGCAGCAGUUGCAGCCCUGGCUGUCCCUGGAGCGGUGGGAGCUGCCGGUGGCCCCAGGCACUGUCCUGUGAGGAGCUGCUGAAGGACGCUGUGCUGAAGAGCUUGAGGACAUCCAGACACUGCCAGGAGGCAGCAGGGAGAAGCUGAAGGCCUGGAGCAAGAGCAGUGAGCAGGGAUGUGCUGGGGCCACGCGAGAGCCUGGAUGUCCCAUCUGCUGUCCCUGUCCAGGAGAGCUGCUCUGCAUGGGAGCAAAAUACUGAGGGAGAGGCUUUGAAGAUCGGGCGGCUGAUUUGUUCUUAUGCAGUUCUAUGUAUAUUUAGAUUGGGACUGUGACAUUUGUAUAUUUUCAAAUAGUUUUGUUUUAUAUAUUGCAUGAAAUAUGUAAUAUUUAAUUUGUAUUUGCAUCUGUAGAUUGUUAUAUAUGUAUAUAUAAAUGCAUUUCAUUCUAUUUAAACAUGUAUGAAGAGGUAUAGUUGUAUAAUUUUAUCUAUGGAAUUCUCAGUACAGGGUUAUUUAGAGGGAGACACGAAUAUUUUUGUAUUUCUAUAUGGGCUCUAAGCUUUUAGUAAUCUGUAAUAAAUUAAGUUGUUAAACACGUCACUAAUCUUUGUCUAUAGUGACUUGUAGAGGUUAGCAAUAAAUUAAGUUUUUGCUAACUGAAGUUGCUAUUUGUAUA